GACGAACGCUGGCGGCGUGCUUAACACAUGCAAGUCGAACGGAAAGGCCCUGCUUUUGUGGGGUGCUCGAGUGGCGAACGGGUGAGUAACACGUGAGUAACCUGCCCUUGACUUUGGGAUAACUUCAGGAAACUGGGGCUAAUACCGGAUAGGAGCUCCUGCUGCAUGGUGGGGGUUGGAAAGUUUCGGCGGUUGGGGAUGGACUCGCGGCUUAUGAGCUUGUUGGUGGGGUAGUUGCUUUCGAAGGCUUUGACGGGUAGCCGGCCUGAGAGGGUGACCGGGGACAUGGGGACUACGAGAGGGCCCAGACGGGAACGGGAGGCAGUAGGGGGAAACAUGGCAGAAUGGGCGGAAGCCAGAGAUGGCAGCGUCCGGAGCGGGAUGACGGCUUUCGGGGUGUAAACCGCUUUGGCCGGUGCUGAAGAGUGAGUGACGGUAAUGGGUAAAGAAGCAACGGCUAACUACGUG
rnacentral:rRNA from 1 species